rnacentral:lncRNA from 1 species
UAUUUGCACAUACACUUAUACACUGCAACUUAUGUGAGCCUGACACAUACACACACACACUACAUCUCAUGUGACCACACACACUCACGUUUAACUCUCUCCGUAGGAUAUUCUUGGAUGUGCUCUUAGUGCCCUGCUGCCAUCUUACCAGACCAUCUAUGCUCUGCCUAUGCUCACCAUCAAGCAGGACAAUGCUAUUGGAAUAGUCAAGAAUGCUCCAAAUACCACUUAAUUGCUUCCAUGAUGUCUCUGCUCCAGCACGUCAAGAUCGGGCUUGAGGCCUUCCUCCUUUUGAAGAGCUAAAGCACUGGAAUUGUCGCCAGCGUUCCGUCCGAUGCACCCAAUGACAUCGCUGCCCUCAGGAAUAUAAAAAAGAAACAGGUCCUGAGAGAAAAAUAUGGAAUCAAAUACAAGAUGGUCUUACCUUUUGAGCUGGUAAGCUGCCUCUCGCAACCUUUAUUUGGUUAUAAAUUACCAGACAGUGUACUGUGUGCCUUGUACUCACGCUGCUCUACUCCAUCUGCCCAUCAUUGAGAUCCCUGGCUAUGGGAACCUGUCGGCUCCUCCAGUUCUGUGACCAGUUGACGAUCCCGAGCCAGAAUGACCUUGAGAAGCUGGCACAGGCCAAGAAAAGGGUCUACCUCGAGGGCUUCUAUGAAGGAAUCAUGCAGGUUGAAGGCUAGAAGGGCUGAAAAAUUGCAGGACGUCAAUAAACCCAUCCAUAAGACAAUGAUGGAGGAGAAGGUACCCUGGUUGAAAUCCAUUAUUUGAUACUGUCGGGAAGAGUGGGAUGUGCCCGACUACACAAGUGGAAAAGGAGUAAACACACAACAACAGAGUUCAAGGUUCAUAAGCUUUUACUCUAGCUUUCAGUGUCUCUGGAGUUCUUGUCCACAAGCCGUUCAGGCAAAGAGGGUGGUUAAAUAUGGCGGCCACCUGUAGCCUCUUGCGGCGAUGUGGCCUCACUGGAAGAGUCUGUGGCAGGAGAGCGAAAACACAGUGUGAGUAGGCUGUCUGUC